UUAUUGCAAGUGAUGAGCCCAUAGUUCAACUGUAAUUUUUUUGAUGACAUACUUUUAAUGUCUUUCGCUCCUAUCUGAAUAAAAAUU